GACGAACGCUGGCGGCGUGCUUAACACAUGCAAGUCGAGGGAGUCCACCCUUUCGAGGGUGAGGCGACCGGCGGACGGGUGAGUAACACGUAAGUGAUUUAUCCUCAUGCGGGGGAUAACCCGGGGAAACCCGGGCGUAAUACCGCAUGGUCGGACUGGCUGCAUGGCCGGACCGGGAAAGGUGGCCUCUUCAUGAAAGCUACCGCGUGGGGAGAAGCUUGCGGGCUAUCAGCUAGUUGGUGAGGAACGGCUCACCAAGGCAACGACGGCUAGGGGGUCUGAGAGGACCGACCCC
rnacentral:rRNA from 1 species